GGAAGCCAGUCACAGAUUGUGAGGACGCUCAAGAAGCCACACAGGCAAGUGUGUGUGGUGAUGAACUGAGGCCUCCUGCCGAUAGCCAGAUGAGCCAAUUUAGAAGCAGAUCAUUCAGCCCCAGUCAAGCCUUGGACUAAUUGCAGCCCCAGCUGACAUCUUGACUACAGUCUCAUGAGUCACCUGGAGCCAGACCACCCAAUCAAGCAUCUUCUGAAUUCCUGAUCAACAAAUAUCGUGAGCUGGAUGAAACCAGAGUGACAUCAGAGACCAUGAUGGUGGAGCUUCGAGAUGGAAUCAGGCUGCUUUGAACAGGGUACCUCAUCUGUAUCCAUCUUUGAGAGGAUUGCCCUCGGCUGAACCUGAGGUUACACAUUUCACCUCGAGAGGCAGCCCAUGACUGACUGAUAUGGGGGUACAAAAGGCCAGCUGCUGGCUUUAAAGUGGGACCAAAGUUAUGCUGCACUUCAUCCUCCAGAACAACCCAGGGGAUCAGGCUGAGGCUUGUCUCCAGUGGGGACGACACCCAAGCUUAGCUUCUUCCUUGCCCCAUCCUGCUCCCUCCAUUCCCCUUCUCCCAAGAUUUUCCUUCAAUAAAUUGUGUGCCUUUGAAUUUCUGUUUCAGGGUCUGCUUCUAGGGAUAUCUGCCUAAGUGACAUUUUGCUGAUUAAUACUUGCAUCUUAGAAAUUCUGUGGGCCCCACCUUUUUAUAUGUUUCUUUCAUGACUUUGGGAUCUUUCAUUCCAAUAAGGGGGAUCCAAUAUGGUGAACUUAUUAAGACUCUUAAGGAAUAAUGGAACCACUGCUCUACAGGGUAAAUUCAUAUAGAGCAGAAAGGUUUUCUGGUGUUAAGGAAGGUUUUAAUUUAUUAUCCACUGAUAAAAAUUUGUACUUUAACAAUUGAGUUAGAAAAAACCUCAAUUGUUCCUUUAUUGUUUUCCUUUUAGCCCAUCUCCUUUUCCUCUUCCUCCUUCUCUUUUUCCUCUUUCUCUCCUUCAUGUUCACUAUUACUUUUUUGCUCUGAUACUCAUCUCAAAAAUUUCAGCUCCUUGAGUCAUUACAGUGUGUAUAUCUUCUCAGAGGAGCUCUGUAUUCACUUCUCGUCCUUCAAACAACGAUCUCAAUUUCAUCCGUCUUAAGAAAGAAGCCCCUCCUCUUCCUGCUUCACCCCACCAUGCUGCUGAAAAGGCACUUGCAAUAAUACUUCAUCAAACACUUUCUAGACUGGUGGCAAAUUUUUCUUUGUGAAAUACUGGAGCAAGUCUUGGAGUAUCUCCCAGAACAGUAAGAGCUUAUAAGAUAUCCAGUGAAAUUAUAAUAGCUGGAGGCUGAGAAAAAUAAUAACUUAUUUGGUGAUUACAUCAUGUUUCUGUUUUUUUCCCUAUAGAUUACUAGAGCUACAACUUUUCCAUUUUUUUCCAGCACACUUAAUUUGAGCUAUCAAAGCUCCUUAUAUUCACCUUCUUAUUCUUUCUUUCUUUCUGUCUUUGUAAGAAAAAUAUAAGAAAAGGGGAAUUAAAUUGAAUCUUUUUAUCUCACCUUAUGAUCAAGAAUCUGUCCUACAAAUUGAACAUGAAAUAAGAUCCAAAGGUUGCUUAAAGGUAGUAGGACUAGCAGGAUUCCUAGAGUCCAAUUUUAUCCUUUGAUAUAAAUCUCAGGAGAUUUUAUUUUAUUUUAUUUUAUUUAUUUUUUUGCGGUACGCGGACCUCUCACUGUUGUGGCCUCUCCUAUUGCGGAGCACAGGCUCCGGACGUGCAGGCUCAGCGGCCAUGGCUCACGGGCCUAGCCGCUCUGCGGCAUGUGGGAUCUUCCCGGACCGGGGCACGAACCCGUGUCCCCUGCAUCGGCAGGCGGACUCUCAACCACUGCGCCACCAGGGAAGCCCUCAGGAGAUUUUUUUAAAAGACAAAGCAAACUUGGAGAGCCAAAUUCAUCAGUGUCAAUCAUAAAAGAUAUGUAAGAAAAUCUGGAUAAUGCAGAGGAGGGCCAGAACUCUUAUUGUGUAUCCAACAGUUUGAUAAAGUCAUAGAGAGUGGAUUGGCCCAAGUUGUCAUCACUGGAUUUAAGUUCUUGAAUAACCAGCCCCAUCCUUCCUUUCCAGGCUUAUAUCCCAUUAAUUUCUCUUGCUCUCACCUUUCCUCACAUUCUUCCUUUUUCUCCCUCAGUGUAUAUGCACACAUUUACACACACACACAGGUAUACAAUUCAGAGAACAGUCCUGCAGGAUGUCCCUGGUAGUCCAGUAGUUAAGACUCCACACUUCUACUGCAAGGGGUGUGGGUUUGAUCCCUGGUCGGGGAACUAAGAUCCCACAUGCUGUGCAGCAAAAAAAAAAAAAAAAAAAAAGAGAGAGAGAGAGAGAGAGAACAGUCCUGAAAAUUAGGACCAUAUGUGCAUCAUGAGUAUUAAGAUUCUGAGUCUGUCAUUAACCUUGUUUAUUUCAGGGAUCAGCUGAAGUUCACCAAAAGCCCCAAGAUAUUUUCCUAGUUGAUGGUGAGGGCUAGAGGUGCCAGUUAAAAUGUUAAAAUACAGGAUGCCCAGUUAAAUUUUAAUUUUUCAGAUAAACAAUGAAUAUUGGCACCUGCUUAUACUAAAAAAAUUUUGUUAUUUAUCUGAAAUUCAACUUUACCUGGGCAUCCUGUAUUUUUAUUUGGUUAAAACUUUCAACCCUAAUGGAGGUGGUAGAUCAGUCAGGGUCUUGUCAGAAAAGAGAUCACACGUUUAAAUUGGGUAAUUUGAAGAGAGUUCCAAAAAGAGAUUAUUUACAGAGGUGUGGACAGUUUCAGCAGAACACAUAGACUGAUAGGAGUUUGAAACAGCAGGGUUCAAUGAGUGCUUCUAAAGGAUUGAGGAGAGGGAGAGGUUUCAGAACCCCGAGACAGAGAGGCCCCCUGGGGAGGGAUGCAGAUGGGAGAAAUGACCUUUGGGGGAGUGGCUGAAUCCAACUGGAGGCCUGGAGGUAAGAGAGCCUGUUGAUGUGGCUCACAAAAUCAGCUUCCUGGGUUGGUAUGGACAGGCAGAUUGGAUAGAAAGGGUCAAGUGGAAAAUAUCCAGCACAGGGCAUCUUGGUGACUCUGAGCAUCCAGGUGAUGUGGGCCUAGUGCAAAAUAGCCUCCAGCACUCUGGGGUGGAAACACUUCACUGUCAAAUGCCUACUUCGGAGGCUCCCUCUGCCCUGGGAGAGCCUCAGUGUGUGAGCUUAGGCAGAUCAGCUAUCAGCCCUAGUGAGAGACAAACACCCACUCUGUGGGUCAGGGUUUUUUUUGGCGGGGGGGCGGGGGGGCGCGGGGAGGUUUACAUUUCAUUUCUUCUUCACAGCUGUGGGCUGAGAGAAAGUUCAAGAAGCCCUCCUGGCCUGUGUAUUAGUCAGGGUUCUCCAGAGAAACAGAACCAACAGGAUCUGUAUCUGUACCUGUAUCUAUAUAUGAUUGUUAUAUUUAUAUAUAUAACAAUGUUCAGUGGCGUUCUGAUUUUUGCAUGUGCGUGCACGCAUGUGUGUGUACAGAAUUCCUUCUUGCUCAGGGGAGGUCAGUCUUUUGUUCUAUUCAGACCUUCAACUGAUUGGAUGAGGCCCACCACAUUAUGGAGGGGAAUCUGCUUCACUCAGUCAACCAAUAAAAAUGUUAAUCUCAUCCAAAAACACCCUCAUAGAAACUUGCAGAAUAACAUUUGACCAACUAUCUGGGCACCAUGGCCCAGCCAAGUUGACACAUAAGACCAUCACAGACUGUUUUUAGUGUAGUUAUUGGCCAGAGACACAAAGACAUUGUCACCCUUCUGUGGUCCAGCUCAGCUACCAAGCCUGGACUCUUCCUGUGUAGUUCUGGGGCCAAAGCAAGAGCAACCUUGCAUUUCCCUCACCCUAGCCUCUUUCUUGUCUCUUUCCUAGGAACCUGCCAAAGGUGCGGGCUGGUGGCCAAAGAUUGAGGGAUUUAGAAUCUUUGUCCUCUGACCCUCAAUCUUUAGUAGCUUGGAGGCAUUUGGAAGAAGAAUCUACCACAAUCAAGAAGCCAUUUACCUGAAAUGAUUGUUAUGAGUUACUUGAUCACAGAAGAUAUUAGAAGCCAGUGUCAUAGUGUGCUGGUGUAUGAUUUUUUGGUACAUGUUGGCAUUA